CUCCAUGAAUCCUUGGGCCCUGCCAGCGUGGCAGCUUCCCUUCCUAGCCAUGGAAGAGCAAAUAGUUUCUUGCUAAUUGGCAAAGCUGCCGCCAUUCAAUUGGGGCAGGUCUCUGACUUGGGCAAGUGACAUGG
ensembl:snoRNA